CAGUCGCCGCGGUAAUACGAAGGGUGCAAGCGUUAAUCGGAAUUACUGGGCGUAAAGCGUGCGUAGGCGGUUUGUUAAGUCAGCUGUGAAAUCCCCGGGCUCAACCUGGGAAUGGCAGUGGAUACUGGCAAGCUAGAGUGUGUCAGAGGAUGGUGGAAUUCCCGGUGUAGCGGUGAAAUGCGUAGAGAUCGGGAGGAACAUCAGUGGCGAAGGCGGCCAUCUGGGACAACACUGACGCUGAGGCACGAAAGCGUGGGGAGCAAACAGGAUUAGAUACCCGUGUAGUCCCUGUCUCUUAUAC
rnacentral:rRNA from 1 species